CCAGGGGCUUCUCUGUCGGGCCCCAGCCCCGCAGCCCUCCCUCGCUGCCCAGGCACAGAUUCACCGGAAGAAAGCAGUUGGCAGCAGGGGCUUUCCUAGGCUUCAGUCUACUUCCUCAGCAACCCAGAAUUCCUUCCUGAGGAAAUCCCCAGAGUGCUAAGGAUGUGGAGACUGACCAAAAGGCCUUGGAGCAAAGAGCCUCAAGAGAGGAGACACCAGAAUUGACCAGGGUCAACUGGUGCUCAGAGCCCUCUUCUCCCAGAGACCUAUCCUCAUGUCCCCUGCACUCAUGUGCAGUAGAGCUUCUGACUUCAGCAAGGUGUGAGUUUCACCCACACCACAAAGGAGGAUAUUUCAGGGAAAAGCUAGCAUCACUUUCUAAAGAGUCAGUUUCCAGUAUUUUACUGUGUUGGCUGCCCUCCUGAACACAUUCCCAGC